UAUACGACCGUACCGCAAACCGACACUGGUGCGCGAGAUGAGUAUUCUAAGGCGCUUGAGAGAACUCAGGAGAAGGAACUCGGCAAAUUGACACCGUAACUUCGGAAGAAGGUGUGCCCUAUUAGUGUGUAGUGAACAACGAAGCAUGAAUGGGUUGCAAAAAAUCGGUGGCUGCGACUGUUUAUUAAAAACACAGCACUCUGCAAACACGAAAGUGGACGUAUAGGGUGUGACGCCUGCCCGGUGCUGGAAGAUUAAAUGAUGGGGUGCAAGCUCUUGAUUGAAGUCCCAGUAAACGGCGGCCGUAACGAUAACGGUCCUAAGGUAGCGAAAUUCCUUGUCGGGUAAGUUCCGACCUGCACGAAUGGCGUAACGAUGGCCACACUGUCUCCUCCUGAGACUCAGCGAAGUUGAAAUGUUUGUGAUGAUGCAAUCUCCCCGCGGAAAGACGGAAAGACCCCAUGAACCUUUACUGUAGCUUUGUAUUGGACUUUGAACAGAUCUGUGUAGGAUAGGUGGGAGGCUUUGAAGCAGGGUCGCUAGAUCUUGUGGAGCCAACGUUGAAAUACCACCCUGGUGUGUUUGAGGUUCUAACCUAGGUCCAUUAUCUGGAUCGGGGACAGUGCAUGGUAGGCAGUUUGACUGGGGCGGUCUCCUCCCAAAGCGUAACGGAGGAGUUCGAAGGUACGCUAGUUACGGUCGGACAUCGUGACGAUAGUGCAAUGGCAUAAGCGUGCUUAACUGCGAGACUGACAAGUCGAGCAGAUGCGAAAGCAGGACAUAGUGAUCCGGUGGUUCUGUAUGGAAGGGCCAUCGCUCAACGGAUAAAAGGUACUCUGGGGAUAACAGGCUGAUACCGCCCAAGAGUUCAUAUCGACGGCGGUGUUUGGCACCUCGAUGUCGGCUCAUCUCAUCCUGGGGCUGUAGCCGGUCCCAAGGGUAUGGCUGUUCGCCAUUUAAAGAGGUACGUGAGCUGGGUUUAAAACGUCGUGAGACAGUUUGGUCCCUAUCUUCCGUGGGCGCUGCAGAUUUGAGGAAGCCUGCUCCUAGUACGAGAGGACCGGAGUGGACACACCUCUGGUGUAUCGGUUGUCACGCCAGUGGCAUUGCCGAGUAGCUAAGUGUGGAAGAGAUAACCGCUGAAAGCAUCUAAGCGGGAAACUCGUUUCAAGAUGAUAUCUGCCGGGGCCUUGAGCCCCCUAAAGAGUCGUUCAAGACCAGGACGUUGAUAGGUCAGGUGUGGAAGCCA
rnacentral:rRNA from 1 species